ensembl:lncRNA
AGUCCCACAGAUCAUCUUGAGGUAACAAACUGCUCAGAGGACAGACACAGUCCACCUGUCAGAGUCACGGAUGGAGAUUUAAGCAGAAAAUCACCUUCUCAUGACCUGGAGCAUCUGAGACCAGUUGAGCACACAGCAAACCUGUUAGAUGCCAUCAGACAGGUUCCAGAAAGACUUUGUGUGACAAAAAAAUUGGUAUGUGGCAUGAGUAUUUAUUACAAGGUAAUUUCCAUAAAUGUAGAUUGCAGAUGAAUUUUCUUAUAUAUUUACCUCGGCUUUAAAGUCACUAAACACAUAUGACAUCUAUUAUGUCUUUCUGUGCUGUUGACUCGAUAUAUAGAUGGUUGUACCUUGUACUCUCAAACAUGACGAGUAAAAUAAAAC